rnacentral:rRNA from 1 species
GGGGAAUAUUGCACAAUGGGCGCAAGCCUGAUGCAGCCAUUGCCGCGUGUAUGAAGAAGGCCUUCGGGUUGUAAAGUACUUUCAGCAGUGAGGAAGGUGGAUAUGUUAAUAGCAUAUUCAUUUGACGUUUAGCUGCAGAAGAAGCACCGGCUAACUCCGUGCCAGCAGCCGCGGUAAUACGGAGGGUGCGAGCGUUAAUCGGAAUUACUGGGCGUAAAGCGCAUGCAGGUGGUUUGUUAAGUCAGAUGUGAAAGCCCGGGGCUCAACCUCGGAAUUGCAUUUGAAACUGGCAAACUAGAGUACUGUAGAGGGGGUAGAAUUUCAGGUGUAGCGGUGAAAUGCGUAGAGAUCUGAAGGAAUACCGGUGGCGAAGGCGGCCCCCUGGACAGAUACUGACACUCAGAUGCGAAAGCGUGGGGAGCAAACAGGAUUAGAUACCCUGGUAG